ACUGUGGCUGGUGUAAAAAUUUACUUCCGUGGCUCUCGGCGUGUUUUACCAUAGAGAUACAUUGUGUAUGUGGGAGUGGUAUUUGCUCUUGAAUUCCAGAUUUAACUAAUUAUUUGUUUGAAUUUCAUUAUAUUUCUGUUGUUGGGACCUUAGUGUGGCCUUCAGUUAUUCAGAGGGUUUGGAUAAUAUCGCUUGGGAGAGAUAUAAAACCAAAUUAACAGCAGCAGGACUGGCAACUCGUCCAUAUCA